UAAAAGACAGUUUGUUUUGGGGUUUUCUCCUUGGACGAAGGGUGCAACUUCCGCAGAAGGGGUUGAAUGUUUGGAACCCCAGUUUGAUAGCUGUGACAGUUGAAAAGGCUUUUGAAGCACUUAAAAGAUUCAUUUAUUAUGCUGGUCAUGGUUUAGAGUGCCAAUCCUCAAGGAUUUUGAAUUACCAGUCUGAUGGACUUCUAUCCCUCUUGUUCAACAUGUGGUUUUCUAGAGCACAUGAAGCCAAGAGUAGUAGCAGAAGAAGCAGGUGUUGUCACACAGCCAGAAAACAACCAGCAGGAGGUAUGGCAAGCAUUUCACAUCUUUUUCAAGGUGCUCCAAGGAAGAGCAAGUCUAAGCAACCUCAUCACAUAAUAAUAACAGAAGAUGAAACAAGAUUUGAAGAGGAUGACUCCCUAAUGGCAGCUGCUGAGCAGUGGCUCAAAUGACCCAAUCCAGAG
rnacentral:lncRNA from 11 species